AACCCAUUGUUACAUUAUUAGACGGAAAGACCCCAAGAGCUUUUUUUGUGUUAGAUUUGUUUGGGGUAAAUGUAGAUUAUUCAUUUAUUUUCAGAUCCUUCGUGGAUAAAGGAUAAAGUUACCUUGGGGAUAACUGAGUAAAGGGCAGGGAGAGGUCAUAUUGAUCUGUUUAUUACUACCUCGAUGUUGGCUUGUUGAACCUUUUCGGUGUAGAGGCUGGAAAAGGAAGUCUGUUCGACUUUUAAAUCUUCAUGAGUUGAGUUAAGACCGGUGUAAGCCAGGUUGGUUCUUAUCUAUAAUUGGUUCUAAUUAGUACGAAAGGAUUAUUAGGAUACAGUGUUUCUGUACAUAUAGGAAUAGGAGGUAUACA
rnacentral:rRNA from 1 species